rnacentral:tRNA from 1 species
UGCGGGGUGGAGAAAUGGUAUCUCGACGGGCUCAUAACCCGUAGGUAGGUGGUUCGAUUCCAUCCCCCGCAACCA